rnacentral:rRNA from 1 species
UACGUAGGUGGCGAGCGUUGUUCGGAUUUAUUGGGCGUAAAGGGUCCGCAGGGGGUUGAUUAAGUCUGAUGUGAAAUCUCACGGCUCAACUGUGAAACUGCAUUGGAGACUGGUCAACUAGAGCAUCGGAGAGGAGAGCGGAAUUCCUGGUGUAGCGGUGGAAUGCGUAGAUAUCAGGAAGAACACCAAAAGCGAAGGCAGCUCUCUGGACGAUUGCUGACCCUCAGGGACGAAAGCGUGGGGAGCAAACAGGAUUAGAUACCCUGGUAGUCCACGCUGUAAACGUUGUGAACUUGAUGUGGGAGGAUUUAACCCCUUCCGUGUCGGAGCUAACGCUUUAAGUUCACCGCCUGGGGACUACGGCCGCAAGGCUAAA